CAGCAGCCGCGGUAAUACGAGGGGGGCAAGCGUUGUUCGGAAUUAUUGGGCGUAAAGGGUGCGUAGGCGGUUUGAUAAGUCUGUUGUGAAAGCCCCGGGCUCAACCUGGGAAUGGCAAUGGAUACUGGCGAGCUAGAGUGUGUCAGAGGAUGGUGGAAUUCCCGGUGUAGCGGUGAAAUGCGUAGAGAUCGGGAGGAACAACAGUGGCGAAGGCGGCCAUCUGGGACAACACUGACGCUGAGGCACGAAAGCGUGGGGAGCAAACAGGAUUAGAUACCCGAGUAGUCCCUGUCUCUUAUAC
rnacentral:rRNA from 1 species